GAAAAGAAAAAAAAAUAACCAAAUUUGAGCAUCAAGGGUCUUCCAGUCUCCUUACUGCAUUAUUUCUAUAGUUUUCUAAAA